AUCUCCUGGGAUCAUGUUAAAGAUGCAGAUUCUGGUACACUAGGCCUGGGGUGGGUCCUGAGAUUCUGCAUUGCUAACAAGCUCUCAGGUGAUGCCAGU
rnacentral:miRNA from 1 species